GCCGCUGUGGUGGAAUUGGCAGACACAAGGGACUUAAAAUCCCUCGGAGCGAUCCAUACCGGUUCGAUCCCGGUCAGCGGCA
rnacentral:tRNA from 1 species